rnacentral:rRNA from 1 species
UUCACGUUGAUAAUCUGCCCUACGGUUCGGCAUAGCCUUGAGAAAUUGAGGGUAAAUCCGAAUAGGAGAUUGAGGCUGGAACGCACUUUCUCCGAAACAUUAGGCCGUAGGAUGAGUCAGCGGCUGAUUAGAUUGUUGGUGAGGUAAUGGCUCACCAAGUCUGCGAUCAGUAGGGGAGAUGAGAGUCUUAGCCCCGAGAAGGACACGGAGGUACUGGUCCUAGUCCUAAGGGAUGCAGCAGUCACGGAACCUUUACAAUGCACGAAAGUGUGAUAGGGGAAUUCCAAGUGCUUUACCAAUGGUAAGGCUUUUGUUAAGUGUAAGGAGCUUGACGAAUAAGUGGUGGGCAAGACCGGUGCCAGCCGCCGCGGUAACACCGGCGCCACGAGUGGUGAUCAUUUUUAUUGGGUCUAAAGCGUCCGUAGCUUGUUUAGUAAAUUCUUUGUGAAAUUGUUGGGCUUAACUUAACAACUUGCAAAGAAGACUGCUUAACUUGAGACCGGGAGGGGACAGAGGUAUUCCAUGGGGAGCGGUAAAAUGCUAUAAUCCUUGGAGGACCACCAGUGGCGAAGGCUUCUGUCCAGAACGGGUCUGACGGUGAGGGACGAAGGCUAGGG